rnacentral:rRNA from 1 species
AGUGAACGCUGGCGGUAGGCCUAACACAUGCAAGUCGAACGGCAGCACAGUAAGAGCUUGCUCUUACGGGUGGCGAGUGGCGGACGGGUGAGGAAUACAUCGGAAUCUACUUUUUCGUGGGGGAUAACGUAGGGAAACUUACGCUAAUACCGCAUACGACCUACGGGUGAAAGCAGGGGAUCUUCGGACCUUGCGCGAUUGAAUGAGCCGAUGUCGGAUUAGCUAGUUGGCGGGGUAAAGGCCCACCAAGGCGACGAUCCGUAGCUGGUCUGAGAGGAUGAUCAGCCACACUGGAACUGAGACACGGUCCAGACUCCUACGGGAGCCAGCAGUGGGGAAUAUUGGACAAUGGGCGCAAGCCUGAUCCAGCCAUACCGCGUGGGUGAAGAAGGCCUUCGGGUUGUAAAGCCCUUUUGUUGGGAAAGAAAAGCAGCAGGUUAAUACCCCGCUGUUCUGGCGGUACCCAAAGAAUAAGCACCGGCUAACUUCGUG